GGGCCCAUAGCAUAGCUUGGUGGUGCGUUCGACUGAUAAUCGAAAGGUCAUGGAUUCAAAUUCCAUUGGGCCCACCA
rnacentral:tRNA from 1 species